CCUCUCUCCAGGGCUUGAUGCUUCUUCUCCCUAUAAUUUCCCUUCAGGACAUGGGAAAAUUGUACCCAGUGAAGUCGUCAGCUUGUAGAGACUGAACAAAGUCUAAGUGUCCAAAGACUCCGUGAGUCAAUGGUAAUUGAUAAAUGAUUGACCUAAGGUCUAAGGAUAUAAGAACAUGAAAAGAUUAAUGAUUUUUUUUUGAAGAAAUAUUUAAAGGUCACUAGGGGAGGAGAAAGCAAACUUCAAGAAAACUGCCAAGGAGAAGAACGGAUGAAAGUCUCGAGCAUGAAAAGCACCCAUUUCUCCCUGGAGUGACUUUAAAAAAACGCACGGUCCACCGAGGAGUGAGGUGGUGAAGACGUUUGACACUCUUGGAAAGGACUGUCCCUCGAGUGGAUACUUCUAGAGGAUCUACUCCCUUUCAUCUAACUGCAAAGACACCAAAGAAGGCUCCUGGCUUCCAGGGAGACAGUUCACAUUGAGGGUUUGCAGAGCUGAGCUUGUUUAUCUGUUGCACAAAGGUAUUUGUCUCUCAGCAACAAAGGAAAGCCACCAUAUUGAGGUCACUCUAAUUACUUAUCGGCAUGCAAGAAACAGUCUUCUAAAAGAACCCCUUCCACCCCUCCUUUAAUUAUCAUUUGUUACUUAUGACCGAGGAGAUUAAAUUGAAUGUGCCAAAUCAAGUAAAAUUCUACUCAGUGGGGUCAGAGUAGUAACCAAGAAUCAUAUGAUACUGUGCUUAUAAGGCCUGCACUCCGGAAGGAAAGACAAACAAACAGAGAUAUAAAUUGGGAUAUAUGACAAUUCUGAAAGAGAUGUUUCUUUUAAAAUCUACCAGUGCGGUUUUAUAUUUAUGAAGAUCUCUGUAUCCAGGAACUUCAGUCCAGAAAAUAAAACGUGUCAGCUAUUUCAAGCAGGGCAAGAUUGAGGAAGACUAAUU